GUCCUGAUAGUAUAAACAUUACUUUGGUCUUGUAAACCAAAAAUGAGGAGUUAUCCUCUCAAGACA
rnacentral:tRNA from 1 species